rnacentral:lncRNA from 1 species
GUUCGCUGGCGCCCGGAUGUCUGAGCUCUGGCUCCGCUCUGGCUCCGGCUCCCUCCGCAGCCUGCGGGCGGGGCUCCCAGCCCAUCCGGAGCCUCGCGGCGCCCCUGCCGCUCUGCCAGCAGCGCGGCCUCCCGGUUCCCAGCCUCCCGGCCUGGGGGGCCCCCCCGCCCAGCCGAGUUGCUGACCCGACUGCUUUCCCGCUGCCCCCAGCUGCGCUCGGGCCGCUGCAGCCUCGGCGCGCCCCCACCCCGCUUCCUGCCUCGGCAGCUUUGCCCGGACCGGGCGGCCGCCCUGGAUCGCACCCCGUUCCUUCCUUCCUUCAUUCUUUCAGGCAACUCGCAUUCCUCGAGCGCCUGCGACGUGCCCCGUACAAGGCCUCUCCGACCUUCGGAGUGUGGCCCACCGGGGUCCUCCCAGAAGCCUCUGCCCUCCUCACCCCGCCCUGGACUCUCCUCUCUGAUGUCCUGUUUCACUCAGAGGGUAGCAUUUAAUUGUUCUCUGAUUAUUUCUCCUGUUAAGGGUCAGUCGGUGGCAAGGUCAAGGGAGGGCUUUGUGACCGAAAUCAGGGGUCAGUCUGAAAGUAGGGUGAGGGAUCAGAAUGUGGCCAGAGUUGGGGUUCAGCCAAACCGUGGCAGGAUUUGGAGAUAGUGUGGGUAGGAGUUGGCAGCGCUCUGUCUAUGGCCAGGCUUUAUAGACAGGGAGGGUGUGAGGGUUAGUGUGAAUAGCAUCAGUAGCCAAGAUUAGUGAGUCAGUCUUUCGGUAGGGUCAGUGGACAAUCUGGAUCAGGGUAAUAGGUCACCCAGAGACCAGGAUUUGGGGGUUGACUUUGACAAGCCAGUUAAGGGGAGGAGGGCGCUGUAGCUUUCUGAACUCACAUUAGUGGUUCCUCUGUGGGCAGGGGGUGGGGGUGGUGGUGACCAUAGCUUCCCCCUGCAUCGUCCAGGUGGAGCUGGCCUUCCGUCUAGGACACUCAUUGUCCUCAACAACACCCUGCUUUGAUCAUGUGCCAGAUGUAGGGGAGGGGUAGGUAAGGGGGGCAAAACUCUCAUUGGAUCAGACCAUGGUCAGAAUGGCAGUAACACUGGCCAUGGCAGGGAGGCCCUAGGUGUCCCAGGAACCCCAUCUUGGAGUCACCCAUGUUUAACAGGGCCCCUGGCAGGUCUUACAGUGGGACCAGAUGUAUGAAGGCAUUGACUUAAAAAAUAUGCACAACCUUAAAGCUCUUUUAAAUCUUUGUACAAACCAACGCCACAUAGAAUGGUCUUCAAACAGCCAUCACAGCCCUGCUGUGCUUUCUGUGAGUUCGGGAAUCAGACAGAUGCUGGUUGAAAAUGCGGGCUUUGUCGUCUAGCAGCUUUCCCAUCACAGGUAAGUCAUUUAUGCUCCCAGAGCCUCCGUGGUUACUGUGAUGAUUCAAGUAGAUGACAUAUGUAAAGCACCUGGCACUUGGGAGGCCCUGGGUGACCCCCCACCCCAGGGCCUGCUGGGCAUGGUUGUCAGAUUCCUCACAGAAUUCUUCCAUCAUCUCUCCUGGUGGUGGUGUGGUUGGCCCAGUCCAGUCACAGCAUCUCAGCACUGCCUGUCCAGCCUCUGUGCUCUUCAGAGCCCUUCCACACACAUGCAGGAGUAUCUGAUCAGCAGGACAGCUCGGUGCAGGGACUGAAAAACUGGGGCUGCACCCCGGGGUCCCCACUCUUAGGCUCUGCCACUUCGAACAAGCUCUUUCACCUCUCUGAGCCUCAGAGAGCCACCACAGAGCCCUGCUGAGGGUUUAGUGAGGAACUAAAGGCAAGCAUCUAGGGGCCUGCUAGCACGUGGAGGCACUCAGUAAGUCAGAGGCAGAGUUAGGAAUAGUCCUAUUUCACAGAAGAAGAAACUGAGUCCCUCAGGGGGUAAGUGAUUCAUCCAGUGUCAUGUGGAAAGAUCCCUUCACAGACCUGGGAUUAAAAACCACAUCUUCAGAGUUCCCCUUUGUGGCUCAGCAGGUUAAGAACCCAACAAUUGUCUGUGAGGAUGUGGGUUCAAUCCGGGGCCUUGCUCGGUGAGUUAAGGGUCUGGCAUUGCCACAAGCUGUGGUGUAGGUGGCAGAUGAGGCUCAGAGCUGGCAUUGCUGUGCCUGUGGUGUAUGCCAGUAGCUGCAGCUCAGAUUUGACCCCUAGCCGGGGAACUUCAAUGUGCCGCAGGUACAGCCAUUAAAACAAAACAAAACAAAACAAAAAAAA